rnacentral:lncRNA from 1 species
AAUAGACUUUUUUUGAUAAACGGGUUGGGCUCGGGCUUGGCAAUUAAAACCUAAUCCAAGCCCAGCUUGACUUAGAUUCUUUUAUUUUUCUUGUAUUGAAUUUGACAAUAGAUAUUGUAGGAUUGUGGGUGUUGCAUCAAGGCUCUGGAGAGAGCUGAUGUUGUGAAGGAGGUGCAUCUGUCUAGUCACUGGGACGUCAUGAGAGACUUACAAGAGAAGUCAACUCACACCAGAGGGGGUACUCCGGUGGGGGACCCUUUGAUGCUUAAGUUAGUCAGAGCUUGAGCACAGUAGAAGGGAGAGAGA